rnacentral:lncRNA from 1 species
GGGAGUAAGACUAGUGAGAGAUGUGAGCUGAGUGUUGGUCACACUAAAGGAUCAUAUGUGAUCUCCACUCCGGGAAGGAAGAUAGCCUUAGACAAGAUAGUUACCCUUGUACCUAUCCAGCUAGGCCAAACUCUUUUUAGGGAGAAUCUCAUCAUCCUUGACCUGGAAGGAAUAGAUAUCAUCCUUGGGAUGGAUUGGAUGACCCGACACCAAGUGGUCCUAGAUGUAACUGCCCGAGCUCUCCACAUCAACUCACCCUUUCAUGGCAGGUCUACCCUAUCCUUGACCCAC